rnacentral:rRNA from 1 species
UACGUAGGGCGCAAGCGUUGUCCGGAAUUAUUGGGCGUAAAGAGCUCGUAGGCGGUUUGUCGCGUCUGCUGUGAAAACCUAAGGCUCAACCUUGGGCUUGCAGUGGGUACGGGCAGACUAGAGUGCGGUAGGGGUGACUGGAAUUCCUGGUGUAGCGGUGGAAUGCGCAGAUAUCAGGAGGAACACCGAUGGCGAAGGCAGCUCGCUGGGACGGUACUGACGCUGAGACGCGAAAGCGUGGGGAGCAAACAGG